UCCUCCGCGUCCUUCUUCAUGAAGCCCCCGUACCUCUUGGCGAGGAUUUCCCCUGCGUUGGCCUCUUCUUCCGGCCCCUGGGGGUAGAGCUCAUCCAUUUUCUUCAUGAAGCCGCCAUACCGUUUCAUGAAGCCGCCGUACUUCUUGGCCAGCGCGUGGCCCUCCUCCGGCUUGCUGCUCUCUCUGAGGACGCUGGUGCCAUCUUGCGGGAGCUCCAGCUGGGACAGCUGCAGGAGCUCCUUGCAGGUCGCCCAGGUUUUGAGAGAGGGCAGUUUCCCUUCACAUUCCAGGGUGCAAGCCUGGGAAAGGAAUCCCGUUUAGUGACACAAAGAGGCUUUUCUGGUUUCAUUAGGUGAGGGUACGCGUUUGAGGGACCUGAAGUUGAAAGGGCUGGAGAAGUGAAAUCCAAACAAAGACAACGAAAUGCCACUAAUAAAAUAUGACACUAUUUACAGAA